ACGACCUUACUUGAACAGGAUCUGUUCUAUAGGCUCGUACUACUGUAUCCUUGAGUUCUAAGGAGACAGGAUCCCAAGUCUGGUUGAUGAACUAUAGCCGCGUGAUCAGAGCGUGAUUAACAGCCUCGUGGCCCUCGGACCACUGAUGCAGUAGAGGAUCGUUCUCAGCCAUCCGAGUGUGGCUGCGAUGGUCAUGCGGCUGUCUGACAGACU